rnacentral:rRNA from 1 species
AAAGAGUACGUAGGCGGUGAUUCAAGUCAGAGGUGAAAGCCUGGAGCUCAACUCCAGAACUGCCUUUGAAACUAGAUCGCUAGAAUUGUGGAGAGGUUAGUGGAAUUCCGAGUGUAGAGGUGAAAUUCGUAGAUAUUCGGAAGAACACCAGUGGCGAAGGCGACUAACUGGACACAUAUUGACGCUGAGGUACGAAAGCGUGGGGAGCAAACAGGAUUAGAUACCCGAGU